rfam:Gorilla gorilla gorilla genomic chromosome, chr1, whole genome shotgun sequence
GCUGGGCGUGGUGGCGCGUGCCUGUAAUCCCAGCUACUAGGGAGGCUGAGGCAGGAGAAUUGCUUGAACCUGGGAGGUGGAAGUGGCAGUGAGAUGAGAUUGCACCACUGUACUCCAGCCUGGGUGACAGAGCAAGAAUCUGUCUCAA